rnacentral:rRNA from 1 species
GUGAACGCUGGCGGUAGGCCUAACCCAUGCCAGUCGAACGGCAGCACAGUAAGAGCUUGCUCUUACGGGUGGCGAGUGGCGGACGGGUGAGGAAUACAUCGGAAUCUACUUUUUCGUGGGGGAUAACGUAGGGAAACUUACGCUAAUACCGCAUACGACCUACGGGUGAAAGCAGGGGAUCUUCGGACCUUGCGCGAUUGAAUGAGCCGAUGUCGGAUUAGCUAGUUGGCGGGGUAAAGGCCCACCAAGGCGACGAUCCGUAGCUGGUCUGAGAGGAUGAUCAGCCACACUGGAACUGAGACACGGUCCAGACUCCUACGGGGGGCAGCAGUGGGGAAUAUUGGACAAAGGGCGCAAGCCUGAUCCAGCCAUACCGCGUGGGUGAAGAAGGCCUUCGGGUUGUAAAGCCCUUUUGUUGGGAAAGAAAAGCAGCAGGUUAAUACCCCGCUGUUCUGACGGUACCCAAAGAAUAAGCACCGGCUAACUUCGUG